GUAGCAUGGCCCCUGCGCAAGGAUGAUAUGCAAAUUCAUGAAGCAUUCCAUACUUUU
ensembl:snRNA U6 U6 spliceosomal RNA